rnacentral:rRNA from 1 species
AGAGGGCGACAGGGGUAAACGGGAAUUCCCAGUGAAAGCGGUGGAAAUGCGUAAGAGAUUGUCAAAGAACACAUGGUGGCCGAAAGCCGCUCUACAGGGAUCGGACCUAGACCCUCAGGGGACGAAAGCUAAGGUAACCGAAGGGAAUAAGAUACCCCUGAAGGUCCAUAGCCGUAAAGCCUGGAUACUAAGGCGUGAGUUGGAUCGAACAAAGGCGGGCCGAAAGCUAACGCGUUAAGUUAUCCCGCCUGGGGAGUACGCACGGCAAGUGUGCAACUCAAAGGAAUUGACGGGGGCCCGCACAAGCGCUGGAGGAUGUCGGUUUAAUUCGAUGCAACGCGAAGAACCUUACCAGGGCUUGACAUCCCGCGAAUCAUGCUGAAAGGCGAGAGUGCCUUCGGGAGCACGGAGACAGGUGGUGCAUGGCUGUCGUCAGCUCGUGUCGUGAGAUCUUGGGUUAAGUCCCGCAACGAGCGCAACCCUCGUCCUUAGUUGCCAGCAUUAAGUUGGGCACUCUAGGGAGACUGCCGGUGACAAACCGGAGUAAGAUGAGGAUGACGUCAAGUCAGCAUGCCCCUUAUGCUAUGGGCAACACACGUCCUACAAUGGUCGGGACAAAGGGGAACAAGCUCGCGAGAGUAAGCGAAUCCCAGCAAAUUAGGCCUCAGUUCAGAAUGCAGGCUGCAACUCGCCUGCAUGAAGGAGGAAUCGCUAGUAAUCGCAGGUCAGCAUAAUGCGGUGUAUUCGUUCCCGGGCCUUGUACACAACGCCCGUCACACCAUGGAAGC